CAAAGUUAUAUAGAUUUAUAUAAAUUAAUUAUUUUUGCAACGAGUUCAAAGUAAGGUUGAUUAUCAGUCGACUCUAUUUCAAGAUCUGAGAAUGAUUUGCCUAUUUUUGGGCGGAGAACAUAACAUACUUGUAUUACUGCCACCAUAGAUUAUCAUUAGAAUCACUGGUAGAUCUACAACAAGUCAUUCUCAGAUCUUGAAAUAGAGUCGAUGCAGAAUUAACGCAUUGUUUCAUAGAUAGUGAAUCGAUCAGAAUAGACAGAAUAGAUCAUUGUCAUAGAAAAAAAACGUCGAUGUACUUUUUGCAUUCGAAUUGACAUAAUUUGAACAUAGACUCUGCAUUUAUGCCAUAAAAUAUGUCUGAUCGGACGUGCUGAAUCAUCCGGCAAAAACCAUCAAUAUUUUUAAAGUAACAUUAAUUAGAAUCAAGGUCUACUGUGCAUUUAAUCCGUCAUGUGUUUGUUUCAGAUGAAUGAAUACCUGCACCAUGGAAACAAUGUCAUUUGCAAAUUUUUUAACCUGUGCUGGGCGUUCACAUUGACAUUUCUUGUUCAACAGGAAUACAUGAUGUCGACCAACAGUACAGCUAGAUGAAGAUAUAAAUUUAUUCAAAGAAAUAAUGGGACAAUGAAUGCUAAAAUUGCCUAGAAGAAGACUGUCAAUUUACACACCAUUUUAUACAGUAUGAUAUGGUGAACAAAAUGCCUCAAUGCAGCCAGUUCUGGAGCUUUGGCUAGACUAUGAACAGUAGACAUCAAAAGAUGAUCAUCUGAAGGGCCACAAUUGUUUAAAGCACUGGUCAACAAAAACUGAACUAUUUGAUGGAUCAUACAUCUGCAGAAUGUACUACCAUAUUUCCAGAAUCAGAGAAAUAGAAAUAUCAAGUAUUAGAGAGAAAGAAAAGUAUGCAUCAUGUAUGAAGAACUGCCUUAGAAUAAUUUGCAAAAUACAUUGAAAUGUAACAAUUGCUAAUUGCAUAAGGAAGUUAAGGAAGGUGUACUGUUCUGUAAAAUAUGUGUCCAGUGCAACAUUUCUUUUCCAAUUUUGUGAGCAUAAUUCUGAAUAAAAAUUGCAACAUGGCUACAGGGAUAAUACAAAAGGUUUUAAUCUUAUUUCCAAAC